UCCAAAAUUCUUGCGGAAUUUUUCAGUUGUAGAGUUGUAUACUCCAUUUUCUUUCCAAGAAAAGAAGAAAAGAACCAAAAACAGAAAACCAACAAAUACAUUGAGGGAAUCUGAGGAGCAAGAGGAGCUCGCUGCUGCCAUCACCAUUGCCGGAGUUGCUAUCUUCUUGCUAGAACCACCACUACUUAUAAAUCAUCAUGAAGGAAGCAGUAUGAAUGAAAUGGGACAGUGAUGCUGCAAUUUUGUUGUUUCUUUUUCACCUUUUCUGCCUGAAUAAGGCUUGACAAGAUAUUUUUCGACUCAGCCAUAAUCAAAUUUCAUACGAAAUAUUCAAUUUUUGUGAUGACCUUAAUCUUUUUGACAAAAUGCCCAAAUGAAAUAAGUUUGUAAGUAGACCUGAGAGUAUGUUUGAGAGCCAUUUCUCCUUUAAAUUUUGCUUCACUUUCCUGAGAGUAUAUUUGUAAGCACAUGACAUGUGUCUUUUGUAUAUGUUUAAUUCAUUUAAUUUACUACUCAAUUAAAUGAGUUAAACUUGGGGUAUUGAAAUGAAGAUUAAAUUUUGCACUCAUAACGUUUAUCUCACUCUAACAAUAUGAGUUGAAACUUUUAA